GUGGAUCCUGGACUACCAUUCUCGUUAAGCACAUGCAGUGGUUCCUUUUCAGGAUGCAGAAUGCUAUACAAGUGUCUACACAGAUCAGAAAAGUUGAGUCUUACAAGACCAAAGGAACUGCAAUUUGCCACUGGGCGUACAAUGCUUUAGCCACUAAAACCCAUAAAAGUCCAGUUGAAUCGAGGCAUCUACAGCUCAGUAUGUUGUUUCCUAAUGAUAGACUUCAAGUAUCAGUAUUUAGUUGGAUUGGUUAUAUCCUAAGCAGUGAGAAUGGAAGAACGUGUUUAUCAGAAGGACAUCUCCAAAUUAUCAGAAGGACAUCUCCAAACCAUGUGAAAGAAAUAUCAGUCUGAAAAUAUACAUUCACCAACUCUAGCAACUUUUUCCCCUCUGAUUAUCAAUUAAUGCCCUAGUCAGCAAUGAACCUUAUUUUGUAUCAGACAUUGCACAUGGAAGCAAGAAAGCAAGAAAAACUGCAGCACCUUACUCCAGGGACAAUAAGAGACAAAUGACAUGGAGGAUCCAGGGCUGCCUUGUAGCAAGGACCAAAACGAGAUGGGAAUGCAUGAGUAUCAGUAAGUAUCCAUUAAAGAGCACUGUCCAGAGAAAAAGAGAAUUACUCUUUGAUUAAAGAAUAGGAGUAGCCUGAAGCCAGGUAGAGAUAUACAGUUGAGAUAUGACAAGACAGAGAUUCCAUUCCCUAUUUGAAGUUUUGAAACCCUACACAGGCUGAUUAAUUUCUCUGCAAGACAGUGCAUGCAAUGGGAGUGUCAGAGGCAGCUUACAUAGUAGGGAGCUUGUUGAGUUUGAGGAAAGAGAAAAGGAUUGUUUCCUGGCUCAUACUGUUCCCUUUUUAUUCCACGUGGGUCACUUUUAUUUUACAAAAUAAAUAAAUAAAGACCCCACCAUCCCCCCCAAAAAACAACCAACCAGAAACAAACAAACAAAAACAAUGAACAAGCCCUUCUUUGCUAUCUCAUCUUAUCCCACAUACUCAUAUCCAAGCGGUACAAGCAAUAAGGAAUUUCUUAUUUUCUAUUUUGAGGACUGUGCAGUUGUCUUUUCCAGGUGUCAAGAAAAAACAUCCUUUUCAUCUGAAUUUAACAGAUCAGUUGAGCUAGUGGAUUUUUCCCUGAUUUCCUCUGAACAUAAGACAUCCAAUUAUGUGAUACAAAUGUAUGUUCUCAACCACAGAACCCACAGAGUUUGUUGUGAAAUAGUGGCAUCACUUGAUAGUUCAAUUACAGACAGGUCUUGCUUCUUCUGUUAUCUAUAAUACACAAUUAUGCCCACAGUAACCAUGGCUAAGAUAACACAAAUCUUAACUGUGACCAAGUCUCUCAUCACAAGGUGAUCAGGAGCAAUGCCAGGUGUUUAAGCCCCCACUGCUCAGUAAUCAUGGCAAGCAUAUUUCCUGAGUAAAGAUAUGGCUACCACCAGGGACCGGAUUUAACAUAAAAUGUACACAUAAGACAGCAACAACUGUUGUUUGAGCAUCCUUCCCUUAGCACACAUCCUGAAAGGUAAAGCAGAGCUCCGUGUAUGGUAAGCUGCUAGACUGAGGGAAAGGACAGAGCUUUCCAUUUCUCAGCUAACAAACGCAGGUGACCCGAGUUUUCUAGGAUAUUGGAGACAUGGUCAUACAACUAAUCACUCACAUGAGCUUGUGGUGCUUGGAAGCCAUUGCUGCAGAGUUCAUGCUACAGCUCUGGGAAGGCAAUAAAUGUUGUAUUGGAGGGUAUUCUGGCUGCCAUAUGAGCCAUCACUUACAGUUCAUAAAGCUAUGCAGUAAUUCAAAUGAUUUGCAGGGGACAGGGGUAUAACUGCCAAUCUUCUAAAGUUGUUUGAAGCUGAUUACUAGGGAAUUCCUGCAGUUUCAAUAGCAACUGCUGUGUGAUGUCUAUAGCUGGACAUUUCAAAACAUUUUCAUUGUGAGUUGCAAGUCCCUUAGGUCUAGUAAUAAAUUUUUAUGAGGAUUAAAUUACAUAGGGAUCUAACAGUUAUGUCUGUUGUUUACUCUUGAAAUUGAGAAGUAAAAGAAAAUGAAAAUAACGUGGUUGCUCACCUUUGAUUUUAAUAAUUAUAAUAAGAGUUCCCCUGUGUAGCUUGGAUGUCUUGGAGUAUUUUGGGUCAAACUAGUACUUGUAAAGUGAAAAUGGCAGUAAAAAUAUUGCAGAUAAGAACAUCAUAGAAGUCUAUAUUAAGUGACUCUUUAAUCUCUCAAAAUAUUUUUGAUCAUCAAAUGAGGAUGCUUAAAGAAUAUGGGAGUUCAGUAAUACACCAAGCAAAUGAAAAUUAAAACUAAACAAGGAAAUUCUCUUAGAUAAUUUCUGUCACUAAGAUGUUCUUUUUUUUUUUUUUUUUUAUUGGUAGUUACCUUGUAUGUUAAGA
ensembl:lncRNA